rnacentral:rRNA from 1 species
CACGUAGUUAGCCGGUGCUUAUUCUUACGGUACCGUCAUGACCCGGGGAUAUUAGCCCCAGGCUUUUCGUUCCGUACAAAAGCAGUUUACAACCCGAGGGCCUUCAUCCUGCACGCGGCAUUGCUGGAUCAGGCUUUCGCCCAUUGUCCAAAAUUCCCCGACUGCUGCCUCCCGUAGGAGUCUGGGCCGUGUCUCAGUCCCAGUGUGGCUGGUCGUCCUCUCAGACCAGCUACAGAUCGCAGGCUUGGUAAGCCUUUACCCCACCAACUACCUAAUCUGCCAUCAGCCGCUCUAGUAGCACAAGGCCCAAAGGUCCCCUGCUUUCAUCCGUAGAUCUCAUGCGGUAUUAGCUACUCUUUCGAGUUACGUUACUCCCCCGACUACCUAGGCACGUUCCGAUUCGUAUUACUCACCCGUUCGCCACUCGUCAGUCAUCCGAAGACCUGUUACCGUUCGACUUGCAUGUGUAAAGCAUGCCGCAGCGUUCAAUCGUGACGCCAGGACUCAAACUU